GCGGGCGUGGCGAAACUGGUAGACGCACGGCACUCAAAAUGCCGCGACUUCGGUCAUGUCGGUUCGAUUCCGACCGCCCGCACCA
rnacentral:tRNA from 2 species